rnacentral:rRNA from 1 species
GAAUUUAUUUCGGUAAAUUCUUAGUGGCGAACGGGUGAGUAACGCGUAGGCAACCUGCCCUUUGGAUGGGGACAACAUUCCGAAAGGAGUGCUAAUACCGAAUGUGAUCCAUCUCUCGCAUGAGAGAUGGAUGAAAGAUGGCCUCUAUUUAUAAGCUAUCGCCAAAGGAUGGGCCUGCGUCUAUUAGUUAGUUGGUGGGGUAACGGCUCACCAAGACGAUGAUCAGUAGCCGGUCUGAGAGGAUGAACGGCCACAUUGGGACUGAGACACGGCCCAAACUCCUACGGGAGGCAGCAGUGGGGGAAUCUUCCGCAAUGGACGAAAGUCUGACGGAGCAACGCCGCGUGAGUGAUGAAGGUUUUCGGACUGUAAAACUCUGUUGUCAGGGACGAAGGUGCGAUCUGCGAAUAGUUGAUCGUAUUGACGGUACCUGACGAGGAAGCCACGGCUAACUACGUGCCAGCAGCCGCGGUAAUACGUAGGUGGCAAGCGUUGUCUGGAAUUAUUGGGCGUAAAGAGCAUGUAGGUGGGCUUUUAAGUCCGAUGUGAAAAUGCGGGGCUCAACCCCGUAUGGCAUUGGAUACUGGAAGUCUUGAGUGCAGGAGAGGAAAGGGGAAUUCCCAGUGUAGCGGUGAAAUGCGUAGAUAUUGGGAGGAACACCAGUGGCGAAGGCGCCUUUCUGGACUGUGUCUGACACUGAGAUGCGA